UCAAGAAAUAGCAUAAAUAAUUAUUUAUAAUACCGUACUGUAAACCGACACAGGUAAACAAAUUUAGUAAAUUAAGGCGCUUGAGAUAAUUGUGUUGAAGGAACUCGGCAAAUUGACUCCGUAACAUAGGGAGAAGGAGUAACUGUAAAAGGGAAACCUUUUAUAGUUGUCACAGAAUCGGGGACAGCAACAGUUUAACAAAAACCUAGG
rnacentral:rRNA from 16 species